rnacentral:rRNA from 1 species
AUGAACGCUGACAGAAUGCUUAACACAUGCAAGUCAACUUGAAUUUGGGUUUUUAACUUAGGUUUGGGUGGCGGACGGGUGAGUAACGCGUAAAGAACUUGCCUCACAGCUAGGGACAACAUUUGGAAACGAAUGCUAAUACCUAAUAUUAUGAUAAUAGGGCAUCCUAUAAUUAUGAAAGCUAUAAGCGCUGUGAGAGAGCUUUGCGUCCCAUUAGCUAGUUGGAGAGGUAACGGCUCACCAAGGCGAUGAUGGGUAGCCGGCCUGAGAGGGUGAUCGGCCACAAGGGGACUGAGACACGGCCCUUACUCCUACGGGAGGCAGCAGUGGGGAAUAUUGGACAAUGGACCGAGAGUCUGAUCCAGCAAUUCUGUGUGCACGAUGAAGUUUUUCGGAAUGUAAAGUGCUUUCAGUUGGGAAGAAACAAAUGACGGUACCAACAGAAGAAGUGACGGCUAAAUACGUG